ensembl:lncRNA
UAGGGUAAGGGUUAAGGUUAGGGUUAGAGCUAGGGUAAGGGUUAAGGUAAGGGUUAGAGCUAGGGUAAGGGUUAAGGUUAGGGUUAGAGCUAGGGUAAGGGUUAAGGUAAGGGUUAGAGCUAGGGUAAGGGUUAAGGUAAGGGUUAGAGCUAGGGUAAGGGUUAAGAUUGGGGUUAGUAAAUAGUUAGUUGAGAUGUUACUGAUUGUCUGUAGAGAAUCUACAGAUGAUGGACUAUCUAAAUAAAGUGUUACCCAGAUACCUACUCAAUUAUAUGUGAGCUCUUUUAGAGAAAAUUCUGAAAGCUAAUUCCAUAUUCAUAAUUCGUGAACAGAAUUGAAAAACAAAACAUUGUCUGUUUAUGAUUGGAAUAAAAAGCAAAACAAUGCAAAGAGUGUUCUCUGUUAUGCUAAUGCAAUCUCUCCACAAUCCCCCUUCUUUUCUCUCUUCAUUUUUCCAAAUGAAUUCACAAACAAACACCCAGUUCUGUGUAUUUGGGUAAAGCGUUAAAUUUGAGUUAAUUAAAAUGCUAUCGUUG